rnacentral:tmRNA from 1 species
GGGGCUGACUUGGAUUUCGACAGAUUUCUUGUCGCACAGAUAGCAUGCCAAGCGCUGCUUGUAAAACAGCAACAAAAAUAACUGUAAACAACGCAGAUUACGCUCCAGCUUACGCUAAAGCUGCGUGAGUUAAUCUCCUUUUGGAGCUGGACUGAUUAGAAUUUCUAGCGUUUUAAUCACUCCAUAACCUUAAGCUAGACGCUUUUAAAAGGUGGUUCGCCUUUUAAACUAAGAAACAAGAACUCUUGAAACUACCUCAAGGUUUUAGAAAGUUGGACCAGAGCUAGUUUUAAGGCUAAAAAACUAACCAAUUUUCUAAGCAUUGUAGAAGUUUGUGUUUAGGACAAGAUUUUUGGACUGGGGUUCGAUUCCCCACAGCUCCACCA